rnacentral:rRNA from 1 species
AUACUCANUUAGUNCAAGNNNUCNNUCAUCGACACUACGUGUGGGGGGGUAUNGNNNCCUCCCGUGCAGGAGCUAACGCAGUAAGUGUCCUGCCUNNGGAGUACNGCCGCAAGGCUAACACUCAANNGAAUUGACGNGGGCCCGCACAAGCAGCGGAGCGUGUGGUUUAAUUNGACGCAACGCGAAGAACCUUACCAGGGUUUGACAUGGCCUUGCAAGUCGGUGAGAGCCGACCCCCCCGCAAGGGCAAGGUCACAGAUGCUGCAUGGCUGUCGUCAGCUCGUGCCGUGAGGUGUUGGGUUAAGUCCCGCAACGAGCGCAACCCUCGGGGCCAGUUACCGUGUCUAGCCCGACUGCCGCGACAAACGCGGAGGAAGGUGGGGAUGACGUCAAGUCAGCACGGCUCUUACAUCCUGGGCGACACACACGCUACAAUGGACGCGACAACGGGCAUGCCAAGCCGCUAGGCGGAGCGAAUCCCAUCAAAGGCGUCCUCAGUUCAGAUUGUAGUCUGCAACCCGACUACAUGAAGGCGGAGNNNUAGUAACCGCGGGUCAGCNNNNNGCGG